GGCAGCCUACGGGGGGCAGCAGUGAGGAAUAUUGGUCAAUGGGCGCGAGCCUGAACCAGCCAAGUCGCGUGAGGGAUGACGGUCCUACGGAUUGUAAACCUCUUUUGCCGGGGAGCAAGCGUGCGUUCGUGAACGCGCGUCGAGAGUACCCGGAGAAAAAGCAUCGGCUAACUCCGUGCCAGCAGCCGCGGUAAUACGGAGGAUGCGAGCGUUAUCCGGAUUUAUUGGGUUUAAAGGGUGCGUAGGCGGGAUGCCAAGUCAGCGGUAAAAUUGCGGGGCUCAACCCUGUCGAGCCGUUUAAACUG
rnacentral:rRNA from 1 species